rnacentral:rRNA from 1 species
UUGAGAGUUUGAUCCUGGCUCAGAACGAACGCUGGCGGCAGGCCUAACACAUGCAAGUCGAGCGAGCUCUUCGGAGCUAGCGGCGGACGGGUUAGUAACGCGUGGGAACGUGCCCUUCACUGCGGAAUAGCCACUGGAAACGGUGAGUAAUACCGCAUACGCCCUUCGGGGGAAAGAUUUAUCGGUGAAGGAUCGGCCCGCGUUAGAUUAGAUAGUUGGUGGGGUAACGGCCUACCAAGUCUACGAUCUAUAGCUGGUUUUAGAGGAUGAUCAGCAACACUGGGACUGAGACACGGCCC